CUUUUUUAGAAAUGAUGUCAAGCUUCUAGCUUGGUGCUACCUGAAAGACACUUUCUAUAUCCUCAGUGAGAUCAUUAUUAUUGGCUGCUCUCUGUGGAUUUCAGACCAGUCCUAGGGAGGGACGAAUGUUAAGGAGGCCUCCAAUGGGGGGAGCCACAGCUGCCGUUAUCUGCCUACUGGUGUUGUGUCCUAAGGUGCCCCUGAAGGAAUCUGGAUGCCAAAGAAGGACGAGGAAGAGACAAGGAGAGGCAAUAAUGUUGUCCUGCUUGGAGUCCAUGUGAAAUGACAUGUAUCACCUGUGAUCACCUGUGGCCACAAAGGUUUCAUUGAGGUUCAAAUGAGCACAACUCCGAUGAAGGGUUAGAAGUUACAAGGAGAUGCAUUUCUAGCAAGUGUGAGGGGACCCUUUGUCAGUGGAAGAUGGAAGGAAUGAGCAGCACACAAGAACAUCUCUUGAUCAGUAAGCUCACACACCGGGAGGUCAGAAUGACUACAUGUUACCACAUGGGAAGCCAGGAUUCUGCGGAAUCCGCUGAAUGGCUACUCGUCAUUGGACACUUUGGCAAUCAAAAGAAUGCAGCCUAGACCUGAGAUCCAGAGCCUGAACCCCAUGAAGAGUGUCACAGGGACAUUUCUUAAUGACAUUUAGUUCCUUGCCUCUCCGUCUCAACGUUUCCAUCCGAAAAAUGGGUACUUGUUCCUGCUCAGCACUUCGUAAAGGAAUGCAGGACAUAGCAUGCCUUUUAUCCAUUCGUGGAGGAGAUGUUCUAUUACAGCAGAGGCAUUUUGCUUCCUUAAACUUGAUUUGGGGGAGUGGAUAUUUAUAUGUAAUCAUUGUAAUGGCAUUUUGAUACUCUCCGGGAAAAAGAAAGUAGUUGAGUGUUGUGUCUAUGUGGAAGUGAAAUACCUCGGUUAGGAUUCCUUUUAUUUUUUUUUAAUCAAUAAACUAGAGGAAAAGGGAAA